GGGCAAGGAACAGCUCUGGCGGGCCGAGCUCCCUCGCCAUGAGGGGCCACCGCCGCCAUGAGGCCUUCAGCCGAUGACCAAUGGCGGUGACCCGCCCGAAGGAGCAGCUCUGAGGUGCCCCGGCCCCGUCGCGUGUGGAACCCCGAACUGAGCUGUGCUGGGACAGCUGGGGAGGCGCUCCGGGAGGGCAUUGGAGCCUGCGAGAGCAGAUGUGAAGGGAUAACCUGCCCGUGGAACACAGCAAGAGCUCUGGAGCCACAUGGGUGAGGUGUGACCGUGAGCCAGCCUGGGAAAAUGGGCAAAAAUGUUUCGCUGUCUAAAAGGCCUCUGCUGGCUCCUGUGCUAGCCUCAGGUCUUUAGGGUGGAAAUAGCGUGGUUUAUCCAGAAAUAAGUUUAGCUUAUCUAUUCCUCUUGCUGGAUGAAGCCUUGAUGAGAGUAGGCAUCAUCAGAAAAGUGCCUCCACGUUUUUUCUGCCCUCUAAACCCCCCAGUUUUGGGGUUUUUGUCUCCCAGCAGUAGUCAGCUGCCCGUGGCUGCUCAGUGCCUGUGCCAGUGUUAUGCUGCUGGGAGAGAAAGGUGCUGCUGAGCUUUCCUGGCACCAGCAAGGCCGUCCUGGUGCUCAGUGGUGCCAGGUUUUGGCAGCACUCUGCAUGCCUGAGAGUGGAGUAACUCCUGCCCGUGGAGACAGGUGACUAGACUGUACGUGUUCAUGCAGCAACAGGCAGCUUUAUUGAGAUCUAACUUCCUUACAUAGAUAAGAAGGCCCAUGAAGGUAAUCCUCAUUGGCUGAGCCAGUUACUACUCAGCUAACCAGCCAAUAGCAGCCUGAGUCUCCAAUGGCCUGGGCCUGCUCUUACUGGUCGAAUUACAUAAGCAAGGUAAUUAUAUAAUAAAUCACUUAUGAAGUUGGAAUUAUUUAUACUGUGUGGCCUACAGGCCAGAUGUAGAGCAUCACAGAGGAAUAGCUCAUAAAUAUGGAACUUGUGUGUGUCAUAAAACCUCUAUAGCUCAUAAAUAUGGAACUUGUGUGUGUAAUAAAACCUCUGUUUGCAUGAUGUUUGGGGCACUCAAAUGGAGGAAGGAUCCUCCAAGUGAUCAGUGCUGCAAUAAAAAUGAAUGCUUUUUGAUACUCAAA